GGAUUAGAUACCCUGGUAGUCCACGCUGUAAACGAUGUGUGCUAGUUGUUGGAGUCUUUAGGCUUCAGUGACGGAGAGAAAUCAUUAAGCACACCGCCUGGGGAGUACGGUCGCAAGAUUAAAACUCAAAGGAAUUGACGGGGACCCGCACAAGCGGUGGAGCAUGUUGUUUAAUUCGAAGCAACGCGAAGAACCUUACCACCCCUUGACAUCCUGGUCGGGAGGAGCAGAGACGCUCCUUUUCAGUUAGGCUGGACCAGUGACAGGUGCUGCAUGGCUGUCGUCAGCUCGUGCUG
rnacentral:rRNA from 1 species